AGAGGAAGCCGGUGCGAAUCCGGCGCGGUCCCGCCACUGUCACCGGGGAGGAGACCCCGGGAGCCAGGAACUC
rnacentral:ncRNA from 1 species